rnacentral:rRNA from 1 species
UACGUAGGGUGCGAGCGUUGUCCGGAAUUAUUGGGCGUAAAGAGCUUGUAGGCGGUUUGUCGCGUCUGCCGUGAAAGCCCAGGGCUUAACCCUGGGUCUGCGGUGGGUACGGGCAGACUAGAGUGUGGUAGGGGGAGACUGGAAUUCCUGGUGUAGCGGUGAAAUGCGCAGAUAUCAGGAGGAACACCGAUGGCGAAGGCAGGUCUCUGGGCCACUACUGACGCUGAGAAGCGAAAGCAUGGGGGAGCGAACAGG